AUUGACCGCUGGCGGCAGUCCUAACACAUUCAAGUCUAACGAGCGGCGGACGGGUGAGUAAUGUAUGGGGAUCUGCCUGAUGGAGGGGGAGAACUACUGGAAACGGUAGCUAAUACCGCAUACCAUCAGAUGUACCCAGAUGGGAUUAGCUUGUGGGUGGGGUAAAGGUGCACCAAGGCGACGAUCGCUAGCUGGUCUGAGAUGAUGACCAGCAAAACUGGGACUGAGACACGGUCCAGAAUCCUACGGGAGGCAGCAGUGGGGAAUAUUGCACAAUGGGCGCAAGCCUGAUACAGCCAUGCCGCGUGUAUGAAGAAGGCCUUCGGGUUGUAAAGUACUUUCAGCGGGGAGGCGUUACCCGCAGAAGAAGCACCGGCUAACUCCGUGAAAGCAGCCGCGGUAAUUC
rnacentral:rRNA from 1 species